rnacentral:rRNA from 1 species
CCUACGGGUGGCAGCAGUGGGGAAUAUUGGACAAUGGGCGAAAGCCUGAUCCAGCCAUGCCGCGUGUGUGAAGAAGGCCUUCGGGUUGUAAAGCACUUUCAGUGGGGAAGAAAGCCUUGGGGCUAAUACCCUCGAGGAAGGACAUCACCCACAGAAGAAGCACCGGCUAACUCCGCGCCAGCAGCCGCGGUAAUACGGAGGGUGCGAGCGUUAAUCGGAAUUACUGGGCGUAAAGCGCGCGUAGGCGGUCUGAUAAGCCGGUUGUGAAAGCCCCGGGCUCAACCUGGGAACGGCAUCCGGAACUGUCAGGCUAGAGUGCAGGAGAGGAAGGUAGAAUUCCCGGUGUAGCAGUGAAAUGCGUAGAGAUCGGGAGGAAUACCAGUGGCGAAGGCGGCCUUCUGGACUGACACUGACGCUGAGGUGCGAAAGCGUGGGUAGCAAACAGGAUUAGAUACCCGAGUAGUC